GUUCUUUUUUUAAAGACAGCACUUUCCACUCUUGAAGAGCUUCCAUUAUUAAACUCCUUUCUUUUAACAAAACUAAAUUUUGGGUCGCCACCGCAGCCGCCCGAGAGGAACUGGGGGAGGACGGUGGCCCGCGAGGCUCGUCGCAGACAACGCGGCGGCGAUGUCCGCGAGCCAGGAGAGUGCCGCGGCGGCAGCGGCGGGGCCUUGCGCGCGGCAGGUCAACCUGGGCUUCGGCCUCCCUCCAGUUCCCUGGAAGCGGGCCCGCGACCAGCGCGGGAGCAGCAGCAGAGGCGGAGGCUCCAACGCAUCUCUCUCCUCACCUUCAGCCUGAGCCAGGGGAAGCCAGGCGGCCCGGGUGUCUGGGGGGCGGGGGGAUCCGCUGCCCGAGAAUGGGAAUUCUCUGCACCAGAAUAUAGAGACUAUUCAAUCACCAGGAGCACAAAGUUAUCAUUGUUGCGCUGGAUAAUGCAGGAAAAACUACCAUUCUUUACCAAUUUUCUAUGAAUGAAGUUGUACAUACAUCUCCUACAAUAGGAAGUAAUGUAGAAGAGAGAGUGAUUAAUAAUACACGUUUCCUAAUGUGGGAUAUUGGUGGCCAGGAAUCUCUUCGUUCUUCCUGGAACACUUACUGUACUAACACAGAGUUUGUAAUAGUUGUUGUGGACAGUACAGACAGAGAGAGGAUUUCUGUAACUAGAGAAGAGCUUUAUAAAAUGUUAGCGCAUGAGGACCUAAGAAAGAUGGAUUGCUGAUUUUUGCUAAUAAACAAGAUGUUAAAGAAUGCAUGACUGUAGCAGAAAUCUCCAAGUUUUUGAAGCUAACUUCUAUUAAAGAUCACCAGUGGGAUAUCCAGGCAUGCUGUGCUCUAACUGGCGAGGGAUUGUGCCAAGGACUUGAAUGGAUAAUGUCAUAACUUAAGAUUAGAUGAUCUCUACUGACCUCUUCUCAUAGACUUUGUAUAAAUGAAGUGCUGGACUUUACCUGAAAGCUGCAAAAAUUAAUGGUUUAGAUAUAUUUAUAAUAAACUGAUUUAAACUGUUUCUAUAAGAAGAAAAAUUGAGACCACUUAUUUGAAAACAAAGAUGAAGUCUCACCUUCCAAUUUACUUUCUUAUUAGUUUUUUCCAAAGUAAGUUAUUAAAGCUGUGAUUGACAUUUUUCUCAUAAUGAAUCCUCUCGGGACAUUGUGUAGCCUGUGGUAAGUACAAAGGGAGAGGAAGACAUUUUGAAUUUUAAGAGCUUUAUUAUCAGUAUAACGCUCCCUAGUGGAAUGUUGUUUUCUUCUUGUUCCAUUAAGUCAAAAUACAAAUCAGCACAGAUAUUCAGUUUCCAAUAUUUUAAAAUGUAAUGUUACUUAGGAAAAGUAUUUUGCUUAAGGUUGUGUGUGUAUUGUGUAUAUACCUCAAGUUCAAGUUAAUGGCAUUAAUUUAUGUUCCAGAGAAAAAUAACACAAAUAUUAAUAAUAUCCUUCGUUAUAACCAUAAUGAGAUAAGUAUUGGCAUUGGUGUUCAGUGCCAUUUUAUACUUUCUCUCUAUGUUCUAUGUAUUGUACUAACCAACCUCCCAAAUCAUUGAGCUGCUUAUUUAAAAAAAAAAAA